UACAGAGGUCUCAAGCGUUGUUCGGAUUCAUUGGGCGUAAAGGGUGCGUAGGCGGCGCGGUAAGUCGGGUGUGAAAUCUCGGGGCUUAACUCCGAAACUGCAUUCGAUACUGCCGUGCUUGAGGACUGGAGAGGAGACUGGAAUUUACGGUGUAGCGGUGAAAUGCGUAGAUAUCGGGAGGAACACCUGUGGCGAAAGCGGCUCACUGGACCACAACUGACGCUGAUGCACGAAAGCUAGGGGAGCAAACAGG
rnacentral:rRNA from 1 species